GCCAAUCCACUAACUGACGGGAC
rnacentral:miRNA from 1 species